AGCAGUGUGGUGUAAUGGUUUGAGAGUUCAGCUACAACUCUGGAGACCAGGGUUCGAUUCCCUGCUUGGCCA